UAAAAUUCUUUGUGCUUUUCAAAUUUUUGCU
rnacentral:piRNA from 1 species